UACGUAGGGAGCAAGCGUUGUCCGGAAUCAUUGGGCGUAAAGCGCGCGUAGGCGGCCCCGUAAGUCCGCUGUGAAAGUCAAAGGCUCAACCUUUGAAAGCCGGUGGAAACUGUGGGGCUAGAGUCCGGAAGAGGCGAGUGGAAUUCCUGGUGUAGCGGUGGAAUGCGCAGAUAUCAGGAGGAACACCAAUAGCGAAGGCAGCUCGCUGGGACGGUACUGACGCUAAGGCGCGAAAGCGUGGGGAGCGAACAGG
rnacentral:rRNA from 1 species